UUUCAAUGAAGAAUAUGUUGUUGAAUCAAAAAGCUAAUUGGACCAUUGAUCUUAAAUCUUUUGUAGGUGAUGCUGAGAAGAAAUCUCCAUGUAAACUCAAAGCUAAUGACCUACUUUCCUUUGGGAUGCAAUCAUUGGCAGUUCGACAACUUUCACAUCAAAGUUUUCAAGUUGAGGGAAGUCAUUUAAGUAAGCUUAACCUAAACUCAUUUAUUGUGAAACAGAGAGUGUGAGAUACACCGGAUGCAGAGAAGGUCAAAACUGAAUAGGAAGAUUUUAUCCAGCUCUGGCUUCUACAAGUGAGGGGGAGUAAAGACAACCCACGGAAGAAGCUGUCUGAAGGAGAUACAGGACUGCCAAUGGUUUGAAUGUGCCUCCUCCAAAAUUCAGGUAUUGCCAAUGUGAUAGUAUUGAAACAGCCUCGUUACCUGGAAUUCUUCAUCAUAACUGAAGAAAUCAAGGAAUGUGGACUCCAGGGGUGAAGUUAGAGCAGAAGUUUAAUAAAUGAAAGGAAGAGAGAAAGCUCUCUACUGCGAGAGGAGUCCUGAAAGAGGGUUUCUGUUU